rnacentral:rRNA from 1 species
GACGAACGCUGGCGGCGUGCCUAAUACAUGCAAGUAGAACGCUGAAGGAGGAGCUUGCUUCUCUGGAUGAGUUGCGAACGGGUGAGUAACGCGUAGGUAACCUGCCUGGUAGCGGGGGAUAACUAUUGGAAACGAUAGCUAAUACCGCAUAAGAGUAGAUGUCGCAUGACAUUUGCUUAAAAGGUGCAAUUGCAUCACUACCAGAUGGACCUGCGUUGUAUUAGCUAGUUGGUGAGGUAACGGCUCACCAAGGCAACGAUACAUAGCCGACCUGAGAGGGGGAUCGGCCACACUGGGACUGAGACACGGCCCAGACUCCUACGGGAGGCAGCAGUAGGGAAUCUUCGGCAAUGGACGGAAGUCUGACCGAGCAACGCCGCGUGAGUGAAGAAGGUUGUCGGAUCGUAAAGCUCUGUUGUAAGAGAAGAACGAGUGUGAGAGUGGAAAGUUCACACUGUGACGGUAUCUUACCAGAAAGGGACGGCUAACUACGUG